GACGAACGUUGGCGGCGUGCUUAAUACAUGCAAGUCAACUGAAGCAGUGGUAGCAAUAUCGCUGUGGAGGUGGCGCACGGGUGAGUAACACGUAGGUAAUCUGCCUUCAGGUCUGGCAUAACUCCGGGAAACCGGGGCUAAUAGCAGAUGAUGCAGCGGCUCGACAUCGAGACUGUUGUUAAAGCUAUGGCGCCUGAAGAUGAGCCUGCGUCUGAUUAGCUAGUUGGCGGGGUAACGGCCCACCAAGGCAACGAUCAGUAGCUGGUCUGAGAGGAUGAUCAGCCACACUGGAACUGAGACACGGUCCAGACUCCUACGGGAGGCAGCAGUAAGGAAUAUUGCUCAAUGGGAGAAAUCCUGAAGCAGCAACGCCGCGUGAGGGACGAAGGGCUUUUGCUUGUAAACCUCUGUAGUGAGAGAAAAAAAUCCCAAUCUUUGGGACAUGAUGGUAUCUCAAAAGUAAGCCCCGGCUAACUACGUG
rnacentral:rRNA from 1 species